CAAGUCAUUUCAAGCAUUUCGCAAAAAUCAUAUUUCCCAAUAAGCUACAAACACAAGAUUUCAUAAUAAUAAAAUCUUACUCCGCAA